UGCGGGUACUGGUAUCUCUGAGAGGUCCAGU
rnacentral:piRNA from 1 species